GCGAAAUAGAAUAGCAUCUGAUGAUCUCUGCUGUCGCGUCCGGCUCUCGGCGUCCUCUUCCUCCUCCUCCUCCUCCUCCUCCCCCGCCGCUGCGUAUUUAGGAGUUGCGCUUGGUGCUUACUACAUUACACGAGACAUGGCAGUUUCGCGCGUGCGUACAUGACGUCCUCUUCCGUCCGGGUGGUUUGUUGUGCUCAGCUGCAGCGUCGUCGAGUCUGCGGUAGCUUCAUGGCUGUCGAGGGGAAUGACGUCCGGUCCGAACAAGCCACGGCUGCUGCUGCGCUACCGCCGCGGCUUCGGACCAGGCUUCAUUCCCCACGAUUCACCAUGGAAACGGCAGCGAGCCGCGAGCUUCCAGUGCGCGCAGUGGUUUGAUCAGCAAACACCUGCGCGGCCAAGGCUGAGCCUUGCAGGUCAGGCGUCCAUGUUCUCGUCAGCAAGUCAGCGUCUUCUUCACAUGUCUGAGGUCUGAACAAUGGCGGGUGGACAUCGAUGGAUGAGCAUUGCCGCUGCAAGCAGAUGAAUACCUGCAAGGGAAGAUCGUCCGGUUCACACUUGAGUUGAGAUACCAUGCACUACUCUUGCAGUCUUGUUGUAGUUAGAUUAGAUACCCAUGCACUUGAACCGUGCAAUAGCAUAGCGAGGAAGACGAACCCAGAGAGGACUCAGAAAGAGAUGUUCUCUAUUCCAUCCAGUGCUCAUCUAGUCAUCUAGUCUGCCCGCGGGUGUCUGCCAUGAACGCUGACGCUGCUGCCGGAGCCCGGAGAGCUACUCUGCUACUGGUGUGGAGURGACAAACAGGGAGGGAAGGCGUCUUAGAAGACGGACACAGGGAGGACCAACAGGACUAAAGACCGUCGUACGUGUUGAAGCUGAAACGUGUUGAAGCUGAAGGACUUUCUUAUUACGUGUGGCGCUUCGGAAUAAAGCCAGCGGCAAUUCAUAGAGACAAAACACUGUAUGUUGUGUGCGUUUUCUAGAAUGUGUCGAGCGUAUUGUGAAUAUGGUUGUGUAAAACACAAUUUUAAACUGUAGACAACACUCUUUGCAUGAU
rnacentral:precursor_RNA from 1 species